ACGGCACACAUUUGGAGCUUGGAGCUGAGGCUAACUUCUGGCCAAGGAGCUCUCAAGUCUAGGACGUGUGCUACAGUAACCUGGCAGGACUUACUGACAGCUGGAGGGUCUUUUUGGCCCAAUGAAGAGUUUGGUAGUCGUUCUUGCCACAGUU
ensembl:snoRNA SNORA62 Small nucleolar RNA SNORA62/SNORA6 family